GUAUUAAAAGAAGGAACACACUGUUUUAUGCCAGAACAAAUUGUGUCCUGAGACCAUUGCCUGCCCUCUAUGUAUAAAGACUUCUGGCACUGAAGUAGGAUGGGUAUUC
rnacentral:snoRNA from 1 species